UACAUAGGGUGGCAAGCGUUGUCCGGAAUUAUUGGGCGUAAAGGAGCUCGUAGGUCGUUUGUUACGUCGGAUGUGAAACCUGAAGGCUCAACCUCAGGCCUGCGAUUCGAUACGGGGCAAACUAGGAGUUUGGUAGGGGAGACUGGAAGUUCCUGGUGGUAGCGGUGGGAAUGCGCAGGAGUAAUCAGGAGGAACACCAAUGGCGAAGGCAGGUCUCCUGGGCCAAUGACUGACACUGGAGGAGCGAAAGUCUGGGGAGCGAACAG
rnacentral:rRNA from 1 species